rnacentral:lncRNA from 1 species
AAAAGAGAGAAUAGAAAAAUCAGUUUUUCAAGCUUGGUGCAGCAGUGAUCAACUCUUCGAUCGAAGGUCAAUCCGUGGUUCGAUUGAGCUGAUUUUUGGACAGCAGCUAGGCGAUAAGGUGUUCUUGACUUUGUACGGUCGGAUUUUUCAUCCGAGUCUUGUAGUGUCGGAAAUACCCGUUUUUCAGCAGCUACGUUUUUG